rnacentral:rRNA from 1 species
UGCCGCGUGUGUGAAGAAGGCUUCGGGUUGUAAAGCACUUUCAAUUGGGAAGAAAAGCUCACCGUUAAUAGCGGUGAGCCCUGACAUUACCUUUAGAAGAAGCACCGGCUAACUCCGUGCCAGCAGCCGCGGUAAUACGGAGGGUGCGAGCGUUAAUCGGAAUUACUGGGCGUAAAGCGCGCGUAGGCGGUUUGUUAAGUCAGCUGUGAAAGCCCCGGGCUCAACCUGGGAACUGCAGGUGAUACUGGCCGACUAGAGUACGAGAGAGGGAGGUAGAAUUCCAUGUGUAGCGGUGAAAUGCGUAGAUAUAUGGAGGAAUACCGGUGGCGAAGCGGCCUCCUGGCUCGAUACUGACGCUGAGGUGCGAAAGCGUGGGGAUCAAACAGGAUUAGAUACCCUGGUAUCCCGCUGUAAACGAUGUCUACUACCGUUGGGAGACUUGAUUUCUUA